rnacentral:rRNA from 1 species
UACGGAGGGUGCAAGCGUUGUUCGGAUUUACUGGGCGUAAAGGGCGCGUAGGCGGUCAGCACAAGUCAGUUGUGAAAUCUCCGGGCUUAACUCGGAAAGGUCAACUGAUACUGUGCGACUAGAGUGCGGAAGGGGCAACUGGAAUUCUCGGUGUAGCGGUGAAAUGCGUAGAUAUCGAGAGGAACACCUGCGGCGAAGGCGGGUUGCUGGGCCGACACUGACGCUGAUGCGCGAAAGCCAGGGGAGCGAACGGG